rnacentral:rRNA from 1 species
AAAAACAUCGCCUCCUGCAAAAAAUCCACGUAUAAGAGGUCCUACCUGCCCAGUGACUUAGUUAAACGGCCGCGGUAUUUUGACCGUGCAAAGGUAGCGCAAUCACUUGUCUUUUAAAUAAAGACCUGUAUGAAUGGUGAAACGAGGGCUUAACUGUCUCCCCUUUCCAAUCAAUGAAAUUGAUCUACCCGUGCAGAAGCGGGUAUAAGUAUACAAGACGAGAAGACCCUAUGGAGCUUAAGACAUAAAGUCACCUGUGCUAAAACCCUAAAUUAAGAGAACAAAGCAAAACAGCCACUGACUGAAGUCUUCGGUUGGGGCGACCGCGGGGGAAAGAAAAUCCCCCACGUGGAAAGGGAAAUCCCCUAAACCACGAGGCACACCUCUAAGUCACAGAACUUCUGACCAAACGAUCCGGUAAAUAACCGAUCAACGAACCAAGUUACCCUAGGGAUAACAGCGCAAUCCUCUUCAAGAGUCCAUAUCGACAAGGGGGUUUACGACCUCGAUGUUGGAUCAGGACAUCCUAAUGGUGCAGCCGCUAUUAAGGGUUCGUUUGUUCAACGAUUAAAGUCCUACGUGAUCUGAG